UACGGAGGGUGCAAGCGUUAAUCGGAAUGACUGGGCGUAAAGGGUGCGUAGGUGGUUGCGUAAGUUAGCUGUGAAAUUCCUGGGCUUAACCUAGGGAGGUCAGCUAAGACUGCACGACUAGAGUAUGGGAGAGGGUAGUGGAAUUUCCGGUGUAGCGGUGAAAUGCGUAGAGAUCGGAAGGAACACCAGUGGCGAAGGCGGCUACCUGGCUCAAUACUGACACUGAGGCACGAAAGCGUGGGGAGCAAACAGG
rnacentral:rRNA from 1 species